rnacentral:rRNA from 1 species
UACGGAGGGGGCUAGCGUUGUCCGGAAUUACUGGGCGUAAAGAGCUCGUAGGCGGUUUGUCGCGUCGUCCGUGAAAACUUGGGGCUCAACCCCAAGCUUGCGGGCGAUACGGGCAGACUUGAGUACUGCAGGGGAGACUGGAAUUCCUGGUGUAGCGGUGAAAUGCGCAGAUAUCAGGAGGAACACCGGUGGCGAAGGCGGGUCUCUGGGCAGUAACUGACGCUGAGGAGCGAAAGCGUGGGUAGCAAACAGGA